rnacentral:rRNA from 1 species
GACGAACGCUGGCGGCGUGCUUAACACAUGCAAGUCGAACGGUAAGGCCCUUCGGGGUACACGAGUGGCGAACGGGUGAGUAACACGUGGGUGAUCUGCCCUGCACUUCGGGAUAAGCCUGGGAAACUGGGUCUAAUACCGGAUAGGACCACUGCCUGCAUGGGUGGUGGUGGAAAGCUUUUGCGGUGUGGGAUGGGCCCGCGGCCUAUCAGCUUGUUGGUGGGGUGAUGGCCUACCAAGGCGACGACGGGUAGCCGGCCUGAGAGGGUAACCGGCCACACUGGGACUGAGAUACGGCCCAGACGCCUACGGGAGGCAGCAGUGGGGAAUAUUGCACAAUGGGCGCAAGCCUGAUGCAGCGACGCCGCGUGAGGGAUGACGGCCUUCGGGUUGUAAACCUCUUUCAGCACCGACGAAGCGCAAGUGACGGUAGGUGCAGAAGAAGGACCGGCCAACUACGUGUCAGCAGCCGCGGUAA